UACGGAGGAUCCAAGCGUUAUCCGGAAUCAUUGGGCUUAAAGGGUCCGUAGGCGGUUUAAUAAGUCAGUGGUGAAAUCUGGUCGCUCAACGAUCAAACGGCCAUUGAUACUGUUAGACUUGAAUUAUUAGGAAGUAACUAGAAUAUGUAGUGUAGCGGUGAAAUGCUUAGAUAUUACAUGGAAUACCAAUUGCGAAGGCAGGUUACUACUAAUUGAUUGACGCUGAUGGACGAAAGCGUGGGGAGCGAACAGG
rnacentral:rRNA from 1 species